AGCUUUGCACAGUGGCAGUAUCAUAACCAAUGAAUUAAUCGAGGUGGUGAUUAUUGCUAACUUGAAAUCAAGCUCCUCUCCCCCUUCCUGUGGUAGAAUGGUACAGUAACUACUUGUAAGACAGCAGAAAACUGU
rnacentral:snRNA from 1 species